AGGAUGAAUGCUGGCGGCAUGCCUAAUACAUGCAAGUCGAGCGGUAACAGGACUAGCUUGCUAGUUGCUGACGAGCGGCGGACGGCUGAGUAACGCAUGGGAACGCACCCAAACUGAGGGAUAACUAGUCGAAAGAUUAGCUAAUACCGCAUGUGAUCUUCGGAUUAAAGCCUUCGGGCGGUUUGGGAGCGGCCUGUGUACGAUUAGAUAGUUGGUGAGGUAAUGGCUCACCAAGUCGACGAUCGUUAGAUGGUUUGAGAGGAUGAUCAUCCAGACUGGAACUGAGACACGGUCCAGACUCCUACGGGAGGCAGCAGUAGGGAAUCUUUCACAAUGGGCGAAAGCCUGAUUGGAGCAAUGCCGCGUGCAGGACGAAGGCCUUCGGGUUGUAAACUGCUUUUAUAAGCGAGGAAUAUGACGGUAACUUAUGAAUAAGGAUCGGCUAACUACGUGCCAGCAGCGGC
rnacentral:rRNA from 1 species